rnacentral:rRNA from 1 species
UACGUAGGGUCCGAGCGUUGUCCGGAAUUACUGGGCGUAAAGAGCUCGUAGGCGGUGUGUCGCGUCGGCCGUGAAAACCUGCAGCUUAACUGUGGGCUUGCGGUCGAUACGGGCAUCACUGGAGUUCGGCAGGGGAGACUGGAAUUCCUGGUGUAGCGGUGAAAUGCGCAGAUAUCAGGAGGAACACCGGUGGCGAAGGCGGGUCUCUGGGCCGAUACUGACGCUGAGGAGCGAAAGCGUGGGGAGCGAACAGG